GGCACUUUGGCGGAGUGGUUAACGCGAUGCCCUGCUAUAUAUCCACCGAUAGAUAGUAGCCUAGGCAUUUCCUUCGGGAGCGCAGGUUCGAAUCCUGCAGGUGUCG
rnacentral:tRNA from 1 species